GACAGAAGCCAGUUCUCUGGAUAACCCCUGGAAGGGUUGGGACACUGAACACAUAGUACAUCUCUUUCUUUCCCUGAGGAUAAUCUGUAUGCUGAGCUUCUCAGUUGUUCCCCACUGCUGUCCUGUUGGCUUCAUUCUUCUAUUGCCUUCAAAACAAAAGCCUACAGGGAGAGAACUGGUUCCAUCUUUGACAUCCGACGUGGGGCUCAACUUCUCUACAGAGAGCUUUCAAGCUACAGCUGGUGGUGCGGACAGACACACUGAUAGACUCUUCCUGAUGCCUAAUCAGGGCCCUUAAAGCGAUCUCACCACAGUGGUGGGCUGUGACUGCUGCCCUUCGCAGCAAGAAGCAACUAGAGUGACUGAAGCCCCAUACUCCUAAUGACAGUUAGGUCACCACUGCUGAGGGGGAAAUUGAGACCAGAAAAUAAAGGCACAAAAUGUGAGGGCCUGAGGAAACAGAGAUAAGCCUAAGGAAAUUAGAGUGCAAGAGACAACAGCCUAAUUGGAGUACAAAGUACAAAAGACUAAUAAAA